UGGGGAAUAUUGCACAAUGGGCGAAAGCCUGAUGCAGCGACGCCGCGUGAGGGAUGACGGCCUUCGGGUUGUAAACCUCUUUCAGUAGGGACGAAGCGCAAGUGACGGUACCUGCAGAAGAAGCACCGGCUAACUACGUGCCAGCAGCCGCGGUAAUACGUAGGGUGCGAGCGUUGUCCGGAAUUACUGGGCGUAAAGAGCUCGUAGGCGGUUUGUCACGCCGUCUGUGAAAUCCUAGGGCUUAACCCUGGACGUGCAGGCGGUACGGGCAGACUUGAGUACUACAGGGGAGACUGGAAUUUCAGGUGUAGCGGUGGAAUGCACAGAUAUCAGGAAGAACACCGAUGGCGAAGGCAGGUCUCUGGGUAGUAACUGACGCUGAGGAGCGAAAGCAUGGGUAGCGAACAGG
rnacentral:rRNA from 1 species